GAUGAACGCUGGCGGCGUGCCCAAUACAUGCAAGUCGAGCGGACCAAAGAGAGCUUGCUCUCUGAGGUUAGCGGCGGACGGGUGAGUAACACGUGGGUAACCUGCCUGUAAGACGGGGAUAACUUCGGGAAACCGAAGCUAAUACCGGAUGAUAAAGAGAAACGCCUGUUUCUCUUUUGAAAGUCGGCCUUGUGCUGACGCUUACAGAGGGGCCCGCGGCGCAUUAGCUAGUUGGUGAGGUACCGGCUCACCAAGGCGACGAUGCGUAGCCGACCGGAGAGGGGGAUCGGCCACACUGGGACUGAGACACGGCCCAGACUCCUACGGGAGGCAGCAGUAGGGAAUCUUCGGCAAUGGACGAAAGUCUGACCGAGCAACGCCGCGUGAGCGAUGAAGGCCUUCGGGUCGUAAAGCUCUGUUGUCAGAGAAGAACAAGUACCGGAGUAACUGCCGGUACCUUGACGGUACCUGACCAGAAAGCCACGGCUAACUACGUGCCAGCCGCCGCGGUAA
rnacentral:rRNA from 1 species